rnacentral:rRNA from 1 species
AAUAGAUCCCUGGUAGUCCACGCCGUAAACGAUGAGUGCUAAGUGUUAGAGGGUUUCCGCCCUUUAGUGCUGAAGUUAACGCAUUAAGCACUCCGCCUGGGGAGUACGGCCGCAAGGCUGAAACUCAAAGGAAUUGACGGGGGCCCGCACAAGCGGUGGAGCAUGUGGUUUAAUUCGAAGCAACGCGAAGAACCUUACCAGGUCUUGACAUCCUCUGACAACCCUAGAGAUAGGGCUUCUCCUUCGGGAGCAGAGUGACAGGUGGUGCAUGGUUGUCGUCAGCUCGUGUCGUGAGAUGUUGGGUUAAGUCCCGCAACGAGCGCAACCCUUGAUCUUAGUUGCCAUCAUUAAGUUGGGCACUCUAAGGUGACUGCCGGUGACAAACCGGAGGAAGGUGGGGAUGACGUCAAAUCAUCAUGCCCCUUAUGACCUGGGCUACACACGUGCUACAAUGGACGGUACAAAGAGCUGCAAGACCGCGAGGUGGAGCUAAUCUCAUAAAAACCGUUCUCAGUUCGGA